rnacentral:rRNA from 1 species
CUACCUAUAACAGUGGGAUAACUUCGGGAAACCGGAGCUAAUACCGGAUAAUAUUUAACUUCGCGUGAAGCAAUAGUGAAAGACGGUUCUGCUGUCUCUUAUAUAUGGACCCGCGGCGUAUUAUCUAUUUGGUGAGGUAACGGCUCACCAGGGCAACGAUACAUACCCCACCUGAGAGGGUGAUCGGCCACUCUGGGACUGACACACGGCCCACACUCCUACGGGAGGCAGCAGUAGGGAAUCUUCCGCAGUGGACGAAAGUCUGACGGAGCAACCCCGCGUGAGUGAAAAGGGUUUUCAGAUCGUAAAACUCUGUUGUAGGGGAAAAACAUGUACGUUAAUAUCUGAACGUACCUUGACGGUACCUUACCAAAAAGCCACGGCUAACUACGUGCCAACACCCGCGGUAAUACGUAUGUGGCAAGCGUUAUCCGGAAUUAUUGGGCGUAAAGCGCGCGUACGCGGUCUCUUAAGUCUGAUGUGAAAGCCCCCGGCUCAACCGGGGAGGGUCAUUGGAAACUGGGAGACUUGAGUGCAGAAGAAGAGAGUGGAAUUCCGUGUGUAGCGGAGAUAUGCGCAGAUAUAUGGAAGAACACCAGUGGCGAGCGCGGCUCUCUGGUCUGUAUCUGACUCUGAUGUGCGAGAGCGUGGGGAUCAAACGAGAUUAUAUACCCUGGUACUCCACGCCGUAAACGAUGAGUGCUAAGUGUUGGGGGGUUUCCCCCCUCUCAGUGCUGCAGCUAACGCAUUAAGCACUCCGCCUGGGAGAGUACGGUCGCAAGACUGACACUCAAGAGUAUUGACGGGGACCCGCACAAGCGGUGGAGCAUGUGUUAUUAUCUCGAAGCAACGCGAAGACUCUUACCAUCUCUUGACAUCCUUUUGACAUCUCUAGAGAUAGA